GGGAGCUGUCGAAGGUGGGACUGGCGAUUGGGACUAAGUCGUAACAAGGUAGCCGUACCGGAAGGUGCGGCUGGAUCACCUCCUUU
rnacentral:rRNA from 1 species